rnacentral:rRNA from 1 species
ACUCAAAUGAAUAGACGGGAGCUCGCACAAGCGGUGGAGCAUGUGGUUCAAUUCGACGACAACCGAGGAACCUCACCAGGGUUUGAAAUGAAGAGAAAAACCUUUCGAAAGAUUGGUGUGUUCACAAGACGCUCUUCACAGGUGCUGCAUGGCCCUCGUCAGUUCGUGGUUUGAACUGUUCCCUUAAGUGGGUUAACGAACGCAACCCUUGUCUUCUGUUAUACGUGUCAGAAGAGACUGCUUCCUUUUCGGGAGAGGAAGGAGGGGAUGACGCGAGGUCAGCAUGGCCCUCUGAUACCCUGGGCUACACACGUGCUACAAUGGCGCAUACAAUGGGUUGCCAACCUGCAAGGGGGAGCUAAUCCCAUCAAAGUGCGCCCCAGUUCAGAUAGAAGUCUGCAACUCGACUUCUUGAAGAUGGAAUCGCUAGUAAUCGCGGAUCAGCUACGCCGCGGUGAAUACGUUCUCGAGCUUUGUACACACCGCCCGU